AAGGUAGCGAAAUUCCUUGUCGGGUAAGUUCCGACCUGCACGAAUGGCGUAACGAUGGCCACACUGUCUCCUCCUGAGACUCAGCGAAGUUGAAAUGUUUGUGAUGAUGCAAUCUCCCCGCGGAAAGACGGAAAGACCCCAUGAACCUUUACUGUAGCUUUGUAUUGGACUUUGAACAGAUCUGUGUAGGAUAGGUGGGAGGCUUUGAAGUGAGGACGCUAGUUCUCAUGGAGCCAACGUUGAAAUACCACCCUGGUGUGUUUGAGGUUCUAACCUAGGUCCAUUAUCUGGAUCGGGGACAGUGCAUGGUAGGCAGUUUGACUGGGGCGGUCUCCUCCCAAAGCGUAACGGAGGAGUUCGAAGGUACGCUAGUUACGGUCGGACAUCGUGACGAUAGUGCAAUGGCAUAAGCGUGCUUAACUGCGAGACUGACAAGUCGAGCAGAUGCGAAAGCAGGACAUAGUGAUCCGGUGGUUCUGUAUGGAAGGGCCAUCGCUCAACGGAUAAAAGGUACUCUGGGGAUAACAGGCUGAUACCGCCCAAGAGUUCAUAUCGACGGCGGUGUUUGGCACCUCGAUGUCGGCUCAUCUCAUCCUGGGGCUGUAGCCGGUCCCAAGGGUAUGGCUGUUCGCCAUUUAAAGAGGUACGUGAGCUGGGUUUAAAACGUCGUGAGACAGUUUGGUCCCUAUCUUCCGUGGGCGCUGCAGAUUUGAGGAAGCCUGCUCCUAGUACGAGAGGACCGGAGUGGACACACCUCUGGUGUAUCGGUUGUCACGCCAGUGGCAUUGCCGAGUAGCUAAGUGUGGAAGAGAUAACCGCUGAAAGCAUCUAAGCGGGAAACUCGUUUCAAGAUGAGAUCUGCCGGGGCCUUGAGCCCCCUAAAGAGUCGUUCAAGACCAGGACGUUGAUAGGCUGGGUGUGGAAGCGCAGUAAUGCGUUAAGCUAACCAGUACUAAUUGCUCGUGCGGCUUGACCCU
rnacentral:rRNA from 1 species